CACAAGUUCAUCUAAAAUAGGUUUCAAUAUUCAUAUGCUUUAUUUGACACUGGUCUUGAAAUAUCUUCAUCUUUUGAAUAAUUGUAUAUCUUGUUAAUAUCAGCUCCUUGAUCUUGAAAGCUUAGUUAGUUUAUCAGAAUUGUUAUUUUUGUGGUUUAAUCGACAUCCAUCUUCUGAUUCUUCUGUCGUUUCAUUCUAUGAUUUCUGGUUUGUCCGUAAGUAACUGAUUGCCAUAAUAAUUUUGAUUUUUGGUAUUGACACCUGUUUAAGUUGAUCUGUUUGUUUGGGACCUUUACUUGUUCAAUGGUAGCUUUUACCUGCUUCCUAAGAUGAUUCCUGAACUAAAUAUUCACCCAUUGUUGUGUGUUUCUCGUUGUUAAGUAUUUCUUAAGCAUUUUGAUUGAGGCAUUUCUGAAUAGUGAGUGUUGAUAAAUAUAUUCUUUCUUAUUAUCCUUGUUUUGAUAAUCCUGUGUGAUGUUUGGAUCUGGAAGUCUAUAUUAAGGCAUCUGUGUUGAACCUUGUCAAUUUUGGCUAAUAAUGAUUUUCAUUAGCCUGUUUGUCUAAAGGGUGACCCAAGUUUGAUUGACCAGGGUCAAUUGUAACUAAACUAGGGUCAAAGAAUUGACUAAAGUCAAAUUUCAGGAGUGGGGUAAUUUAGGAAAGGAAGUGAGGGUAUAAGAGGGACUUAAACUCUUAAAAAAUAUGAUAGAACCUUCUAGCAAGAACUAUUGCACAAUACCUGCCUCAAAUUUGAGGCACAAGUCUGAAAUUGAAGGAUCAUUUAGACAAAAUGAAAUUUUGAGUUAAGGACUAAAAAGAAACUAGGGAAAAAUCUGAUUCCCUAAUGGCUCUAUUAUAAAAUGAACCCUCUGGGCACAGCAUGAGGAUCGGAAAACCUUCUCUUUGAGUUCUAGAGUUAAAAAUACAAACUAGUUUCUCCUAUAUCUGCAAAAUAUACCAUUAGUGAUGUUGGGUUAAUUUUUUUUGAAAGAUUGGUCUCUAAAAACUCUGCUGAAGUUUGGAUACACUGUUUGAUUGGUUGUUAAUUGUUUAGCUG
rnacentral:lncRNA from 1 species